AAGCUCCUACUUGUUAUUUCACUAUUUGAGGCCUCACUUGAUGAUGUAUCAUCUAUUUUAUUUAUUUUUUUUGUAAUGUAAUCUUGUUUGUUUUCUAAUGAAAUUAUGUAUUAUUAAUCGAUCAACCAGUCUUCUCAGUCGAUCGACCAUAGAAAGUCGAGCGGAUCUCUUGCUCAAUUGAUCUAGCCAAUCGAUCAGGGUGUCUGGUUAGUCGAUUGCACUCAGUCAACCUGUAUUUUUAGUCGGUCGACCA
rnacentral:lncRNA from 1 species